AAUAGUUUUCCUUAUUUUUAAAGAUGUAUAUAUUUUAUUUAUUCCUACCUUUAUAUAAUGAUUUACAUUUGGUUAAUUUCAAUAAUUUGUACCACACUGAUGUUGGUUUGUUAUUAUUUAUUUUUUAUACAUGUAUAUUUUUUCAACCUUUUCAAAAUCAUUUUAUGAUUGUUCUAUAAACAUAAUAUUAAUGCCUAGACUUGAAAUUGUAUUUCCAUUGUUGUUAAUUGCUUGUUCCUUAAUUAAUCUUGUUUAUUUCGUUGUAAUUAAAUUUGUAUAGCCUAUUUUCUACAUUCAUACAUAUGCCAUAAAAAUAUUGCUGUCCUAUCAGUGCUGAAGUCCAAAUAAGUAGAAGUCCUAUAAAAAAAAUAAGUAAAAAUAAAUGUUUGUCCUACUACGUUUUGCACCGGUCUCAACCCCCCAAUAAAUAUUGACCGGUCCCUAAGUAGACCAAACUGAAGAGCAGUAAUCUAGGUUUGAUCGUACCAUAAAUUUAUAAGCAAACUUUUUAUUUCUUCCUGUAUUAUUUUCUUUUAGUUUCUUUUGCAGUGAUGUUGUUAAUAUGGGUAUCUCAUGCUAUGUUGUUGGAUAAGGUGAUACCAAUAUAUUUUGUUGUGUUGACGGAUUCUAAAAUGUGACCAUUUAGUACAUAGUCAUAUUUGUAUGGUGACUGUGAAUCACUAGAUCGGCGUUUUGCAUUUGCGCCGAUCUGCAUUUCAUUUGCGCCGAUUUUUUCUUUCAUUUGCGCCGAUUUUUUUUUUCAUUUGCGCCGAUUUUUUUACAGGUAAAUAACAGGUAAAUUACAGGUAUAAGAAGAUGUGGUAUGAGAGCCAAUGAGACACCUCUCCAUCCCAGUAAUGUUAUUUUCAUUUAUCAUUAAAGACCUCUUCCGUUAGCCAGUUGUACAUGUGUUAUGAAUUGUCAAUCAUAACAUGUAUAUAACUGUUGUCUCCUGCUUAAAAUCAAGAAGUAAAAAACCUAAGAUAAAAGAACUUUGUUUAUACUAAAAUGACGAAUUAAAAAUAUAUGUAGCAGCAUUUAAAUCCAUAAAAACGGAAUACAUUCAAAUCAUAAAUCUGUUCUUGCCGAGUAUGUAUAGGCAACACAUCUAAUGUAUUCCUUUCUUAUGAUUUCGUCUCUAUUUCUUCUAUAUUUGACAAAAUUGUCGAUAACGAAGGUCUCUUUUCUUUGUCUGGCAUACGUACUUGUGGGGACAUUUCUAGAGUUUGCAUUUUCUCACAAGGAAGCUAUUAAACCAAGAGUUCCAAAUGGUGAAGUUGAAAUAAUCCCUUCUUUAAUUUAUGGACGCCAUCACGAAUUGGUUGACCGUUAUGGAAUGUGUACUUGUACGUUGUCUAAGAAUGUAUGACAUUUGCCAUCAGAAGGAGCGUCAGACAAUGUCAAACGUGAAGCAGUCAUCGAUUUCAUUUAGGGAAAGGAACCGUAACCCGAAACAUUGGGAUAGCCAUUUACCAAUUGCAAUGUCACUUGAUUUGUCUGUAUACUCUGUGCUCAGCCAAUGUAAAAGUAUGAACUUACCUGUAACUUACCUGUAAAUCCAAUUAAGAAAAAAAUAUAAAAUCGGCGCAAAUGAAAAAAUGAAAUCGGCGCAAAUGAAAGAAUGAAAAUUUUCAAAAUCGGCGCAAAUGUCAUACGCCGCACUAGAUUUAUAAAAGUUAAAUGCAUUUUGUGUUUCAGAAAGAUAAAAUCUUUUUGGAAUUUGAUGGGCAUUUUUGAACGAUCCUGCAGGUCCGUUUUAUACAUAUCUAGUGGAUGCCAGAACUUUUCAAACUGCACAGGUUAAUCUGUACUCAGAGUAGUUUUAGAGGUGAAAAUACAACCAGUUUCCCAUUUGUUUAAUAUGGUGAAUCUCAACAAAUCGAGAUGACCUUCAGAAGACUGACAACGUUAAAAUAAUCAGUUAUAGCUAUGAAAGUCCGUUUGAU
rnacentral:lncRNA from 1 species